rnacentral:rRNA from 1 species
UCAGGACGAACGCUGGCGGCGUGCUUAACACAUGCAAGUCGAACGAGAAUUCGUGGAUAGAGGUUUCGGCCAAUUGAAGCGGAGGAAAGUGGCGGACGGGUGAGUAACGCGUGAGGAACCUGCCUUUCAGAGGGGGACAACAGUUGGAAACGACUGCUAAUACCGCAUAACGCAUCGGAGUCGCAUGGCUCUGAUGCCAAAGAUUUUAUCGCUGAAAGAUGGCCUCGCGUCUGAUUAGCUAGUUGGUGAGGUAACGGCCCACCAAGGCGACGAUCAGUAGCCGGACUGAGAGGUUGAACGGCCACAUUGGGACUGAGAUACGGCCCAGACUCCUACGGGAGGCAGCAGUGGGGAAUAUUGGGCAAUGGGCGCCAAGCCUGACCCAGCAACGCCGCGUGAAGGAAGAAGGCUUUCGGGUUGUAAACUUCUUUUGUUGGGGACGAGUAGAAGACGGUACCUGACGAAUAAGCCACGGCUAACUACGUGCCAGCCGCGGC